rnacentral:rRNA from 1 species
AGAGUUUGAUCCUGGCUCAGGAUGAACGCUAGCGGGAGGCUUAACACAUGCAAGUCGAGGGGCAGCAUUUCCUUCGGGAAGAUGGCGACCGGCGGACGGGUGCGUAACGCGUAUGCAACCUGCCUUAUGCAGGGGGAUAGCCCAUGGAAACGUGGAUUAAUACCCCAUAUUCUAUUUUUAUUGCAUAAUAAGAAUAGGAAAACUUCGGUGGCAUAAGAUGGGCAUACGUCUGAUUAGCUAGUUGGUAGGGUAACGGCCUACCAAGGCGACGAUCAGUAGGGGUCCUGAGAGGGUUACCCCCCACACUGGUACUGAGACACGGACCAGACUCCUACGGGAGGCAGCAGUGAGGAAUAUUGGUCAAUGGAGGAAACUCUGAACCAGCCAUCCCGCGUGCAGGAUGACGGCCUUAUGGGUUGUAAACUGCUUUUAUUUGCCAAGAAACCUAUCUACGUGUAGAUAGUUGACGGUAGCAAAUGAAUAAGCACCGGCUAACUCCGUGCCAGCAGCCGCGGUAAUACGGAGGGUGCAAGCGUUAUCCGGAUUUAUUGGGUUUAAAGGGUGCGCAGGCGGAAUCUAAGUCAGUGGUGAAAUACUGCCGCUCAACGGUAGGGCUGCCAUUGAUACUGCGUUUCUUGAGUAUGGUUGAGGUAGGCGGAAUGUGCGGUGUAGCGGUGAAAUGCAUAGAUAUCGCCCAGAACGCCGAUUGCGAAGGCAGCUUACUAAACCAUUACUGACGCUGAGGCACGAAAGCGUGGGUAGCGAACAGGAUUAGAUACCCUGGUAGUCCACGCCGUAAACGAUGUUCACUCGCUGUUUGCGAUACACAGCAAGCGGCUGAGCGAAAGCAUUAAGUGAACCACCUGGGGAGUACGCCCGCAAGGGUGAAACUCAAAGGAAUUGACGGGGGCCCGCACAAGCGGUGGAACAUGUGGUUUAAUUCGAUGAUACGCGAGGAACCUUACCUGGGCUUAAAUGCAUUUUGUAUGGAGUAGAAAUAUUCCUUCCCUUCGGGGCUAUUUGCAAGGUGCUGCAUGGUUGUCGUCAGCUCAUGCCGUGAGGUGUCGGGUUAAGUCCCAUAACGAGCGCAACCCUUACCGUUAGUUGCCAUCGGGUCAAGCCGGGGACUCUAGCGGGACUGCCACCGUAAGGUGAGAGGAAGGUGGGGAUGACGUCAAAUCAGCACGGCCCUUAUGCCCAGGGCUACACACGUGUUACAAUGGCCGGUACAAAGGGCAGCUACUGCGCGAGCAGGUACGAAUCUUCAAAGCCGGUCCCAGUUCGGAUCGGAGUCUGCAACCCGACUCCGUGAAGUUGGAAUCGCUAGUAAUCGGAUAUCAGCAACGAUCCGGUGAAUACGUUCCCGGGCCUUGUACACACCGCCCGUCACACCAUGGGAGUGGGUUGCUCCAGAAGUGGUUAGCCUAACCG